rnacentral:rRNA from 1 species
UACGUAGGGGGCAAGCGUUGUCCGGAUUUAUUGGGCGUAAAGAGCGUGUAGGCGGCCAUACAGGUCCGUUGUGAAAACUGGAGGCUUAACCUCCAGACGUCGAUGGAAACCGUAUGGCUAGAGUCCGGAAGAGGAGAGUGGAAUUCCUGGUGUAGCGGUGAAAUGCGCAGAUAUCAGGAGGAACAUCGAUUGCGAAGGCAGCUCGCUGGGACGUUACUGACGCUGAGACGCGAAAGCGUGGGGAGCAAACAGG